rnacentral:rRNA from 1 species
UAAGGGAUAUUGGUCAAUGGGGCGGGAGCCUGAACCAGCCAUGCCGCGUGAGGGAAUGAGGCCCUACGGGUCGUAAACCUCUUUUGCCGGGGGAUAACGGGCGCCACGCGUGGCGCCGUGAAGGUACCCGGAGAAUAAGCAUCGGCUAACUCCGUGCCAGCAGCCGCGGUAAUACGGAGGAUGCAAGCGUUAUCCGGAAUUAUUGGGUUUAAAGGGUGCGUAGGCUGUUUUGCAAGUCAGGGGUGAAAGCCCGGAGCUCAACUCCGGAACUGCCUUUGAUACUGCGAGGCUGGAAUACGGAUGCCGUGGGAGGAAUGAGUAGUGUAGCGGUGAAAUGCAUAGAUAUUACUCAGAACACCGAUUGCGAAGGCAUCUCACGAAUCCGUCAUUGACGCUGAGCACGAAAGCGU